rnacentral:rRNA from 1 species
UACGUAGGGUGCGAGCGUUAAUCGGAAUUACUGGGCGUAAAGGGCGCGUAGGCGGCUUGGUAAGUCGGGGGUGAAAGUCAGCGGCUCAACCGCUGGACUGCCUUCGAGACUGCCUGGCUUGAGCAUGGUAGAGGCUGGCGGAAUUCCCGGUGUAGCGGUGGAAUGCGUAGAGAUCGGGAAGAACAUCGGUGGCGAAGGCGGCCAGCUGGGCCAUUGCUGACGCUGAGGCGCGACAGCGUGGGGAGCAAACAGG